rnacentral:rRNA from 1 species
AGAGUUUGAUCCUGGCUCAGGAUGAACGCUAGCGGGAGGCUUAACACAUACAAGUCGAGGGGUAACAGGGGUAGCAAUACCUGCUGACGACCGGCGUACGGGUGAGUAACGCGUAUGCAACCUGCCCUAUACAGGAGGAUAGCCCGGAGAAAUUCGGAUUAAUACUCCAUGUAGCAUUUUUUUCGCAUGAAUUAGAUGUUAAAGAUUUAUCGGUAUAGGAUGGGCAUGCGUCCCAUUAGCUAGUUGGUGAGGUAACGGCUCACCAAGGCAUCGAUGGGUAUGGGGUCUUAAAGGAUGGUCCCACACACUGGCACUGAGACACGGGCCAGACUCCUACGGGAGGCAGCAGUGAGGAAUAUUGGUCAAUGGGUGAGAGCCUGAACCAGCCAUCCCGCGUGCAGGAUGACGGUCCUAGUGAUUGUAAACUGCUUUUCUAUGAGAUGAAUAAGAAUUACGUGUAGUUCGAUGACCGUAUUAUAGGAAUAAGCAUCGGCUAACUCCGUGCCAGCAGCCGCGGUAAUACGGAGGAUGCAAGCGUUAUCCGGAUUUAUUAGGUUUAAAGGGUGCGUAGGUGGGCGUUUAAGUCAGUGGUUAAAGCCAUUAGCUUAACUAAUGUAUGCCAUUGAUACUGGAUGUCUUGAAUGUGGUAGAGGUAGGCGGAAUGUGUUGUGUAGCGGUGAAAUGCUUAGAUAUAACACAGAACACCGAUUGCGAAGGCAGCUUACUAUUCCAUUAUUGACGCUGAUGCACGAAAGCGUGGGGAUCAAACAGGAUUAGAUACCCUGGUAGUCCACGCUGUAAACUAUGAUCACUCGUUUUUGGCGAUAUAUAGUCAGAGACUGAGCGAAAGCAUUAAGUGAUCCACCUGGGGAGUACGUUCGCAAGAAUGAAACUCAAAGGAAUUGACGGGGGCCCGCACAAGCGGAGGAACAUGUGG